rnacentral:lncRNA from 1 species
CCUGGCUCCAACAUCCCAGGGAAUUGUGUCACUCCCAUUGAGCAGCUGUGGGGCCCUCUCCCACAUGGCCCAGGUCCACCACUCUGUCAAAGGUCGCACAGCCCAGACAAAAACAGGACACAGCAGUGUGUGAAUGAGCCGGGCUUUCUCCUUCCCUCCACGUAAUAGAAGGUGCCUGAGGUUGUUGAAACACAGUCCAUUUCUCCUGGGAAUGACAAGAAUUUGAGGGAUGCUGACUUUCAAGGAAUACUGCAUGACAGGCAUCAAGAUAAACCUGAUGAAGAAAACAUAGGCCAGAAUCUGGGAAUCGGGAGCAAAGUAAUACAGCUUCGGGGACAGGCACGUAAUGAGGUCAUGAUGUAGGAGACUCCCUGCAGGACUGGCGGCCCCUGUUCCCUGGGUUGUUCUGGCUCUUUCAGCAAAUUGCUCAAAUGUCGGUGUGCUCUCAUGAACAGAAAC